rnacentral:rRNA from 1 species
UACGGAGGGUGCAAGCGUUGUCCGGAAUCACUGGGCGUAAAGGGCGCGUAGGCGGCCUGUGCAAGUCAGUUGUGAAAUCUCCGAGCUUAACUCGGAACGGUCAACUGAUACUGCUCGGCUAGAGUGCGGAAGGGGCAACUGGAAUUCUUGGUGUAGCGGUGAAAUGCGUAGAUAUCAAGAGGAACACCUGCGGCGAAGGCGGGUUGCUGGGCCGACACUGACGCUGAGGCGCGAAAGCUAGGGGAGCGAACGGG